rnacentral:rRNA from 1 species
GAUUAGUGGCGAACGGGUGAGUAACACGUGAGUAACCUGCCCUUAACUCUGGGAUAAGCCUGGGAAACUGGGUCUAAUACCGGAUAUGACUCCUCAUCGCAUGGUGGGGGGUGGAAAGCUUUAUUGUGGUUUUGGAUGGACUCGCGGCCUAUCAGCUUGUUGGUGAGGUAAUGGCUCACCAAGGCGACGACGGGUAGCCGGCCUGAGAGGGUGACCGGCCACACUGGGACUGAGACACGGCCCAGACUCCUACGGGAGGCAGCAGUGGGGAAUAUUGCACAAUGGGCGAAAGCCUGAUGCAGCGACGCCGCGUGAGGGAUGACGGCCUUCGGGUUGUAAACCUCUUUCAGUAGGGAAGAAGCGAAAGUGACGGUACCUGCAGAAGAAGCGCCGGCUAACUACGUGCCAGCAGCCGCGGUAAUACGUAGGGCGCAAGCGUUAUCCGGAAUUAUUGGGCGUAAAGAGCUCGUAGGCGGUUUGUCGCGUCUGCCGUGAAAGUCCGGGGCUCAACUCCGGAUCUGCGGUGGGUACGGGCAGACUAGAGUGAUGUAGGGGAGACUGGAAUUCCUGGUGUAGCGGUGAAAUGCGCAGAUAUCAGGAGGAACACCGAUGGCGAAGGCAGGUCUCUGGGCAUUAACUGACGCUGAGGAGCGAAAGCAUGGGGAGCGAACAGGAUUAGAUACCCUGGUAGUCCAUGCCGUAAACGUUGGGCACUAGGUGUGGGGGACAUUCCACGUUUUCCGCGCCGUAGCUAACGCAUUAAGUGCCCCGCCUGGGGAGUACGGCCGCAAGGCUAAAACUCAAAGGAAUUGACGGGGGCCCGCACAAGCGGCGGAGCAUGCGGAUUAAUUCGAUGCAACGCGAAGAACCUUACCAAGGCUUGACAUGAACCGGAAAUACCUGGAAACAGGUGCCCCGCUUGCGGUCGGUUUACAGGUGGUGCAUGGUUGUCGUCAGCUCGUGUCGUGAGAUGUUGGGUUAAGUCCCGCAACGAGCGCAACCCUCGUUCUAUGUUGCCAGCGCGUUAUGGCGGGGACUCAUAGGAGACUGCCGGGGUCAACUCGGAGGAAGGUGGGGACGACGUCAAAUCAUCAUGCCCCUUAUGUCUUGGGCUUCACGCAUGCUACAAUGGCCGGUACAAAGGGUUGCGAUACUGUGAGGUGGAGCUAAUCCCAAAAAGCCGGUCUCAGUUCGGAUUGGGGUCUGCAACUCGACCCCAUGAAGUCGGAGUCGCUAGUAAUCGCAGAUCAGCAACGCUGCGGUGAAUACGUUCCCGGGCCUUGUACACACCGCCCGUCAAGUCACGAAAGUUGGUAACACCCGAAGCCGGUGG